rnacentral:rRNA from 1 species
CGCAUCUGUGCAUGCAGCAUAUCAAUAAGCGGAGGAAAAGAAACUAACAAGGAUUCCCCUAGUAACGGCGAGUGAAGCGGGAAGAGCUCAAAUUUGAAAUCUUAAAGGGUUUCCCUUUACGAAUUGUAGUUUAAAGAAGUGUUUUCUGUUGAGGUUUUGGUAAAAGUUCUUUGGAAUAGGACAUCAUAGAGGGUGAGAAUCCCGUAUUUGACCUUUACUUUCAACUUUGUGAUACACUUUCAAAGAGUCGGAUUGUUUGGGAAUGCAGUCCAAAAUGGGUGGUAAAUUUCAUCUAAAGCUAAAUAUUGGCGAGAGACCGAUAGCGAACAAGUACCGUGAGGGAAAGAUGAAAAGAACUCUUGAAAAGAGAGUUAAACAGUACGUGAAAUUGUCAAAAGGGAAGCGUUUGACACCAGUGUUGUUUUUCUGAAAAUCAAUUAAAGAACUGUUUAUGCUAAGCUGUUUAGACUUUAUCAGCUAUCUGUUUAGUUUUGAGCUUUUCUUUAAUGCACUUUUCAGUUAACAAGUCAACAUCAAUUUCUUUUGCUGUAAAAAGGCUUGAGGAAGGUGGCUUGAGAUUCGUCUUAAGUGUUUAUAGCCUCUUGCCUAUGCAGUCGGAGAGAUUGAGGUCUGCAGCGUAGAUCCUUCGGGGCUAAAUGCAUUUGUGCUAAGUUAUAGCAUUUUAUAGACAACUUGUUGACUAUGAUUUGUCUUGUAGCUUACUCGCUUAUGUUAUUUUACCUACGCUUAGGAUGUUGAGUCAUCACACAUCUCU